CUGCUCUGACUGGGAGGGAGGGGCUUGUUGAGGGGUUAGACUCUGGUUUUAUCACGGAGGGCUUGUGGAGGACUGACUGCAGACUGGCUCCUUCUCCUCUCCGCUGCUCUCACUCGACUCUACAGCUCUAAUCUGUCCCGUUAGGAUCCACAGGGCACAAUCAUGGAGGAAAUGGACUUUGAGCAGCGCCGGGAGCUGAGGAGGCAGAAGCGGGAGGAGAUGCGCCUGGAGGCCGAAAGGUUGGCGAAGAAUGAUGAUGACGAAGAAGAGGCGGCCCGUGAGAGAAGGCGCAGGGCACGCCAGGAUAGGCUGAAGACCAGGGACGGCGAGGAGCCCAGUGGACAGCCAGACAGUCUGGUCAUGACCAAUAGCCACAGUGGGACAGAGACAGUGUCUGUGAGCAGCUCUUAUGGAGGCGGUGGAGAUGACGAGGACCAAGCCCUGCUGGACCGCAUGGCCAAACGCGAGGAGAGACGGCAGAGGCGCAUGAAAGAGGCGCUGGAGAGACAGAGGCAGGGGGACCCCGCUGAGACAGAGGACAACGGCAGCGUCGCCAUGGAGAAAAACAAUGAUGAGGAGGAGAGGCCCUCAUCCUGUCGUAGGGGUCGUUACCGUGAUAAUAAUGAGGAGGAAGAGGAGAAGACGUUCGCGUACAGCUCCAGGAGAGAGGAGAAGCAGCGAGAAGAGCCAAGAGAGGAAGAGGAGGCUGCUCCUGGGGACGGAGAAGAAGCAGAUGAGGGUGUGGAUGAAGAGGAGGAGCAGGAAGUGGAAGUGGUGGAGGACAAACCGAGAAGGUCUUACCUGAGGGAACAGGAAUCAGCUGAAGAGCCUAAAACUCUAAACAAGGAACACACUGAAGAAGAAACGCAUUCAUUAGUCAGUGAGGCUUCAAAUCAGGCCAUGUCAGCAAAUUCAGAGGCUGAGGAGGAUGCAGUAGAAUCAGGCGAGGAAGAAGAGGAGAAUGAGAGGGGCGGGGCCAGGGAGGAGAGGGAGGAGCAAAGGAAGCAGAACGGAGGGCUGCACGAGGACGAGGCUCCCAAACAACACAGGAAACCCGAGAGGACCCUGAGUCGCGGAAGUGUACGCUCCCCUGAGGUGUCCGUGGUUGACGACGAGCAGGACGACGACAACGCUCGCCUGGAAGCGGAGCGCAAGCUGGAGGAGCUGAAGCGUCGCCGCGAUGAUGCAGAGAGCGAGGAGUUCGAGAGGAUGAGGCAGAAGCAGCAGGAGGCCGAAGUUGAGCUGGAGGAGCUGAAGAGGAAGAGGGAGGACAGAAGGAAGGUGCUGGAUGAGGAAGAGAAGCAGAAGAAGCAGGAGGAGGAAGAGAGGAAAGACCGAGAGGAGGAUGAGAAGAGGAAGAUGAAGGAGGAGAUUGAAAGGAGGAGAGCAGAGGCGGCCGAGAAGAGACAGAAGGUGGAGGACGUUGUGGACGGCGAGGAUAAACCCUUUAAGUGUGUCAGCCCCCGAGGCUCCUCCCUGAAGAUCGGAGAGAGGGCAGAGUUCCUGAACAAGUCGGCACAGAAAAGCAGCACAGUGAAGGCAGCUCAUUCUCCUGUGGUGUCCAAGAUAGACAACAGACUGGAGCAGUACACCUCAGCUGCUCAGAGAGAGAACAAGGAGUCUCGAUCCCCUCGCUCCGGAGCGGUGGAUCUGCCCAUGGUCACUGACAGCAUACGAAACAUCAAGAGCAUGUGGGAGAGAGGCAGCGUGUUCAGCUCACCCGGGGGCGGCGGGAACACGUUCAAGGAAGCAGCUGUGAUGAAGACAGGCGUGGCGGGCCGCAUCAACGACUGGCUGAAUAAAACCCCUGAGAGCGGCAAAACAUCAGGAGGAAGGCCAGCGGACCUGAAGCCUGUGGAUGUCACCAACAAGAGGAGUCUAUGGGAAAAUAAAGGUGCCUCUCCAACCAAGAACUCUCAUAGCUAAUUGACAUCAGCAUUAAAUCUGGAAUAAGCCUGAAGAGGUGGCAGGCAGAGGGGAGACCAAAUCAGUUGCCAACGGGAUGGGGCACUAAUGUCUUGAAGAAGCCACUAACUCUGGGGACCACGACAAUCCAAGACGCUUCCUUUGACUUUGUCUUAAGAACCAAAUAAUGACCACACGCCCAAGAGGGGACCCCAAGAGAACGGAGGGACAGGAGAGAUGCUGUCCGAGCACUGUACUGAAACAACAUCUUAUUUUCGUACGGUUGCCACAAAUAGUGCCUUUGCACAAUGAUUUUUUUUUGCUUUCUAAAAGAAACAAAAUGCUGUGAAAUUUGGACAUUUGUAAUUACUGUUACUAAUUACUUUAUACAAUCCAGCCAGGAAGAAGGAAAACUAAUUAAAUUUAGAUUUAUCUUGUUUGUACUCCACGCCAACAGUUCUGAUAAGAGACAGAAUAGAUGAGAUAAACGUUUCCACAUUCAGAAGAGAUGGGUGAAAUCAGUUCUCUCCCUCAUACAGAUCCUUUUCCAUCUCUCUUUUUUUUAUUUAUAUUUAAAGCAAAAGCUUCACACAUUGCUAUUUUAUUCAACGUUCACCAGUUCAGGAUAGAAAUAUAAGCACUUAUAGAAUUUAGCUGAUUUCACUUUUUAUUUUGUCUUACCAAUAGUGCAGCAAUGGUCUGAGUAAUAUAUGUUAGCACAUGUGAUGUUUUGAAUAUGACCUAUCAUACUGUAUCGUAUAUAACAUCUUUAUACUCAAAAACAAAAGGUAUUGUUUGCUUUUUUUUGUAUCCAGAAACUAUUCACCAACGGGCAAUUCACUUUGGAGGUGAUAGGAGUGUUGAAUAUUCAGAAGGCCAUUACGACUCUUAUUAUCCUUUAUGUCAUUUUAUUUAUGUUUUAAUGUGUUUUGUUCUUUUCUAUUUCUAGCUGUUUUUGUAGCUUUUGUACCUGUUUGAUCACUUUAAAAAUCUUCAGACAUUCCUCUCUUGAAAAGCAGGUGCUCAAGGUGCCGUCGCUGCUUGAAAGAUGCAGGUUUUAUAAUGUGGGAAAUCGGCAAACCACUUUUUUUUUUUAAAUACUUUUUUGCAUCUAGUCUGUGCACACUUCUAUGCUCAGCAAUCAUUUUCUAAUUGAGGGCACGCAAAGUAAAAUUAUGGUGCCUAAGCAUUUAGCAAGACGCGAGGACAGUACAAGGAUAUUUACCACUAUGUAACUCUUCUGGCCUUAUGAUUGCAGUGACAGCUGAGGUACAGUACAUAAAAGCCUCCCAUCAACUCUGUACGAAACUAAGACUGGAUUUCAUGUUUAUUUUUCACUGACGUGGUCUUACAGCAGCGUGUUCCCUUUCAAUUGUUGUGCGGCAGAAGCUUUGACAAGCGUAUGAAUGGUUUGCCCGGGCAUUAAAUUGAUCUAUGUUACUGCUCAAAGUCUGACAAUCACAUUCCAUGGCUCCUAAAAAGAGCAGGGGAGCUUGACCAAAAUAUUUUAAAGCGUGAUUUAAUGUGACAUUUAUGUUUUUUUUUUAGUACAGUGGUUUCAUAAUGCCGUAUUGUUUUUUUUUCUACAACCUUGUGUCCAUUUUAUGUUUUUUAUUCUUUUAUUUCCAUGUUUAACCAGACACUUUGUUGUUUGUGUAGCGCUAAGCCUAUGCAAAACACACUAUCUGUAGUCUCUCUGAUCACUCCCAAUGUCAUACAAGUGGGCAGUUUCCAACUGGAUGGAUGUUUUAAACAUUGUACCCUUUUACUCAACAACAGCAAUAAAGACAUUGAGGUAUUCCACAUUG